GAGUUUGAUCCUGGCUCAGGAUGAACGCUGGCGGCGUGCCUAAUACAUGCAAGUCGAGCGAACAGAUAAGGAGCUUGCUCCUUUGACGUUAGCGGCGGACGGGUGAGUAACACGUGGGUAACCUACCUAUAAGACUGGAAUAACUCCGGGAAACCGGGGCUAAUGCCGGAUAAUAUUUAGAACCGCAUGGUUCUAAAGUGAAAGAUGGUUUUGCUAUCACUUAUAGAUGGACCCGCGCCGUAUUAGCUAGUUGGUGGGGUAAUGGCUUACCAAGGCAACGAUACGUAGCCGACCUGAGAGGGUGAUCGGCCACACUGGAACUGAGACACGGUCCAGACUCCUACGGGAGGCAGCAGUAGGGAAUCUUCCGCAAUGGGCGAAAGCCUGACGGAGCAACGCCGCGUGAGUGAUGAAGGUCCUCGGAUCGUAAAACUCUGUUAUUAGGGAAGAACAAAUGUGUAAGUAACUGUGCACGUCUUGACGGUACCUAAUCAGAAAGCCACGGCU
rnacentral:rRNA from 1 species